rnacentral:tRNA from 1 species
GCCUGGGUGGCUCAGUCGGUUAAGCGUCUGACUUCGGCUCAGGUCAUGAUCUCGCGGUUCGUGAGUUCAAGCCCCACGUCGGGCU